rnacentral:tRNA from 1 species
GCUUCCGUGGCUCAGGGGUAGAGCAUUUCACUCGUAAUGAAAGGGUCGCCGGUUCAAAUCCGGCCGGGAGCU